AGAGAGAGACAUGCGCGCAUAUCAAUAAGCGGAGGAAAAGAAACUAACAAGGAUUCCCUUAGUAACGGCGAGUGAAGCGGGAAGAGCUCAAAUUUGAAAUCCUCAAGGUUUUACCUUGACGAAUUGUAGUUUAAAGAAGUGUUUUCUGCUGAAGUUUUGGUAAAAGUUCUUUGGAAUAGGAUAUCAUAGAGGGUGAGAAUCCCGUAUUUGACCAUUAUUUUCAGCUUUGUGAUACACUUUCAAAGAGUCGGAUUGUUUGGGAAUGCAGUCCAAAAUGGGUGGUAAAUUUCAUCUAAAGCUAAAUAUUGGCGAGAGACCGAUAGCGAACAAGUACCGUGAGGGAAAGAUGAAAAGAACUUUGAAAAGAGAGUUAAACAGUACGUGAAAUUGUCAAAAGGGAAGCGUUUGACACCAGUGUUGUUUUCUCGAAAAUCAAUUAAAAAUGGCUCGAUUUUGUAUUGCUUGAGACCUUAAAAGCUCACUGUACAUUUUUCGUGUCUUUUUUAAUGCACUUUUCGUUUAACAAGUCAACAUCAGUUUCUUUUGUUGUAAAAGGGUCAUUGGAAGGUGGCUUUCUUUUCGGAGAAAGUGUUUAUAGCCUUUGGCCUCUGCAAUCGGAGAGAUUGAGGUCUGCAGCGUAGAUCCUUCGGGGUUAGAUACAUUUGUGCUAAGUUAUAGCCUUUUCAUAGACAACUUGUUGACUAUGAAUCAGUCAUGUAGCUUACUCGCUUAUGCUAUUUUACCUACGCUUAGGAUGUUGAGUCGUAGAGCACGCAG
rnacentral:rRNA from 1 species